UGCCAGCAAAAAACUUCAUUAUUUUCUAUAGAUGGAUGGACUAUAGUUAACUAUAAACGAAAGGUUGUUCAAACAUAAUAACUUUCUUGAACCAUGCGAUCUUCUCUACAACAUUUGAGUUCUGUUAACCAGCAUUUGAAGUUCAUUUACAUAGUGACUAAUAUUUCAAUACAUCAAAAUCACCGCCUUCCAUCAUGCAAACAGCCCCUAAAACGCCUGUUCAGGAGGUAUGAAAAGUGCAAUUUGAAUAUCAAACACCUUGCACAAAGUCGAAGGUCGGCUAAAUGUUCUAAUUCUACUUUCUUUGCA
rnacentral:lncRNA from 1 species